rnacentral:rRNA from 1 species
GACGAACGCUGGCGGCGUGCUUAACACAUGCAAGUCGAACGGGCCCGCUCUCUUUUUUGGGGGUGGGUUGAGUGGCGAACGGGUGAGUAUCACGUGAGUAACCUGCCCCCUGCUCCUGGAUAACUGCUUGAAAGGGCGGCUAAUACGGGGUGUGCCGGCUGGUCCGCAUGGGCCUGGUCGGGAUAGUUUCAUCUUCGGGUGUUUCGGUGGGGGAUGGGCUCGCGGCCUAUCAGCUUGUUGGUGGGGUGAUGGCCCACCAAGGCGGUGACGGGUAGCCGGCCUGAGAGGGUGGGCGGCCACACUGGGACUGAGACACGGCCCAGACGCCUGCGGGAGGCAGCAGUGGGGGGUAUUGCACAAUGGGCGGAAGCCUGAUGCAGCGACGUCGCGGGAGGGAUGGAGGCCUUCGGGUUGUGAACCUCUUUCUCCGGUGGUGAAGGCCCUGUCCGUUGCGGCGGGGUUGACGGUAGCCGGGUAUGAAGCGCCGGCUAACUACGUG